rnacentral:rRNA from 1 species
GAAAGGCGCUUUCGGGUGUCGCUGAUGGAUGGACCCGCGGUGCAUUAGCUAGUUGGUGAGGUAACGGCUCACCAAGGCGACGAUGCAUAGCCGACCUGAGAGGGUGAUCGGCCACAUUGGGACUGAGACACGGCCCAAACUCCUACGGGAGGCAGCAGUAGGGAAUCUUCGGCAAUGGACGAAAGUCUGACCGAGCAACGCCGCGUGAGUGAAGAAGGUUUUCGGAUCGUAAAACUCUGUUGUUAGAGAAGAACAAGGAUGAGAGUAACUGUUCAUCCCUUGACGGUAUCUAACCAGAAAGCCACGGCUAACUACGUGCCAGCAGCCGCGGCAAUACGUAGGUGGCAAGCGUUGUCCGGAUUUAUUGGGCGUAAAGCGAGCGCAGGCGGUUUCUUAAGUCUGAUGUGAAAGCCCCCGGCUCAACCGGGGAGGGUCAUUGGAAACUGGGAGACUUGAGUGCAGAAGAGGAGAGUGGAAUUCCAUGUGUAGCGGUGAAAUGCGUAGAUAUAUGGAGGAACACCAGUGGCGAAGGCGGCUCUCUGGUCUGUAACUGACGCUGAGGCUCGAAAGCGUGGGGAGCAAACAGGAUUAGAUACCCUGGUAGUCCACGCCGU